CGAGUCCCCUCGAGCUCUCAAGGCCACCGCGGUGUCCCUUUAUUGGGGGCGGCACCUGGGGGGGCACAGGUGUGCCCAGGUGUGCCCAGGUGUGCCCAGAGUCUCUCAGUACAAUAAAAUCCCAAUAAAAUCCAAUUUUUCCCCAUUUUUCUGUCCCGAAGCUGUUCCAGGUGUGUCCCACGCCAUCCCGGUGAUCUCUCCAGGUGUGCCCAGGUGUGCCCAGAGUCUCUCAGC